rnacentral:rRNA from 1 species
GACAGAGGUGGCGAGCGUUGUUCGGAAUUACUGGGCUUAAAGGGCGCGUAGGCGGUGGUUUAAGUCUGAGGUGGAAUGCUACAGCUCAACUGUAGAGCUGCCUUGGAAACUGGAUUACUUGAGUCGGUGAGGGGAAGGUGGAAUUCCAGGUGUAGCGGUGAAAUGCGUAGAUAUCUGGAGGAAGGUCUGUGGCGAAGGCGACCUUCUGGCACUUGACUGACGCUGAGGCGCGAAAGCGUGGGUAGCAAAC